rnacentral:rRNA from 1 species
UUGGGCUCCCUCGAGGAUAGCGACGUCCAGCCUGCCCAGUGACUACAAGUUUAACGGCCGCGGUAUUUUGACCGUGCAAAGGUAGCGCAAUCACUUGUCUUUUAAAUAGAGACCUGUAUGAAUGGCUAAACGAGGGCUUAACUGUCUCCCCUUUCCAGUCAGUGAAAUUGAUCUACCCGUGCAGAAGCGGGUAUAAUAAUACAAGACGAGAAGACCCUUUGGAGCUUAAGGUACAAAAUUCAACCACGUAAAGCAACUCAACAAUAAAAGCAAAAACUUCGUGGAUAAAUGAAAUUUUACCUUCGGUUGGGGCGACCACGGAGGAAAAAACAGCCUCCAAGUGGACUGGGACUAAACCUCCUAAAACCAAGAGAAACAUCUCUAAGCCACAGAACAUCUGACCAAACAUGAUCCGGCUAAUAAAGCCGAUCAACGAACCAAGUUACCCUAGGGAUAACAGCGCAAUCCUCUCCCAGAGUCCAUAUCGACGAGAGGGUUUACGACCUCGAUGUUGGAUCAGGACAUCCUAAUGGUGCAGCCGCUAUAAGGGUCGUCGUCAGUGUUAGGGGAG